CCCUCCCUUCUCCACGCCCCCCCCCCUUCAAGCCUUUGGCAUCAUUAUCCUCAUCACUAAAUCCUACAGAGUACAGGGCGGAAAACCGUGCACAU
ensembl:misc_RNA predicted gene, 27404